GCGAUGGUGGCGGAAUAGGUAGACGCACCAGAUUUAGGUUCUGACGGUUUCGGCCGUGUGGGUUCGAGUCCCACCCAUCGCACCA
rnacentral:tRNA from 1 species